CUGCCAGCACAGCCACAGAAGGAACCAAAGAGCUGCUGCUUUCAGGGUGACUACCGUCCACUUCAGAACUGAGCUGAGGACACUGUGGCCCGGGCCAGACUGUACAGAAAGCUACUGAAGACGGAAUUGGUAUGAGGACCAUGGCACAUCAUGACAGACCUAACCAUUGGAACUCUGUGCUGGAAAAGCCACGGAGCCCUCAGCACUCACUGGGCCAUUGGAGGAGCUCCAAGGCAGAGAGCAGGGCAGAUGAUGCAGGUUUGCCUGUGAACGUCAAGAGGGAAAUCAAGACUCUACCUGGGCCAUUCGUGUGGUAUUUUGUAUUAAGAAUCUUCCCACAUUUAAUCCCAGCACUUGGGACAC
rnacentral:lncRNA from 1 species